AUUGAACGCUAACGGCGUGCUUAACACAUGCAAGUCGAGCGGCAGCAUGACUGUAGCAAUACAGUUGAUGGCGAGCGGCGGACGGGUGAGUAAUGCAUAGGAAUCUGCCUUGUAGUGGGGGAUAACCCGGGGAAACUCGGGCUAAUAGCGCAUAAUCUCUACGGAGCAAAGUGGGGGAUCGUAAGACCUCACGCUAAAAGAUGAGCCUAGUUUGGAUUAGCUAGUUGGUGAGGUAAUGGCUCACCAAGGCGACGAUCCAUAGCUGGUCUGAGAGGAUGAUCAGCCACACUGGGACUGAGACACGGCCCAGACUCCUACGGGAGGCAGCAGUGGGGAAUAUUGGACAAUGGGCGAAAGCCUGAUCCAGCAACGCCGUGUGUGUGAAGAAGGCCUUCGGGUUGUAAAGCACUUUUAGUUGGGAAGAAAAGCUCAUGGGUAAUAUCCAUGAGUGCUGACGUUACCAACAGAAAAAGCACUGGCUAACUCUGUGCCAGCAGCCGCCGUAA
rnacentral:rRNA from 1 species